GCUUACACAUGCAAGUCGAACGCCCGUAGCAAUACGGGAGUGGCAGACGGGAGAGUAACACGUGGGAACGUGCCCUUCAGUUCGGAACAACCCAGGGAAACUUGGGCUAAUACCGGAUACGUCCGUAAGGAGAAAGAUUUAUCGCUGAAGGAUCGGCCCGCGUCUGAUUAGCUGGUUGGUGGGGUAAUGGCUCACCAAGGCGACGAUCAGUAGCUGGUCUGAGAGGAUGAUCAGCCUCACUGGGACUGAGACACGGCCCAGACUCCUACGGGAGGCAGCAGUGGGGAAUCUUGGACAAUGGGCGCAAGCCUGAUCCAGCCAUGCCGCGUGGGUGAUGAAGGCCCUAGGGUUGUAAAGCCCUUUCGGCGGGGAAGAUAAUGACGGUACCCGCAGAAGAAGCCCCGGCUAACUUCGUGCCAGCAGCCGCGGUAAUACGAAGGGGGCUAGCGUUGCUCGGAAUCACUGGGCGUAAAGCGCACGUAGGCGGAUUGCUAAGUCAGGGGUGAAAUCCUGGAGCUCAACUCCAGAACUGGCUUUGAUACUGGCGGUCUC
rnacentral:rRNA from 1 species